AGCGCAGACGGCGAAGCAAGUCUGAAGUGAAAUGCAUGGGCUCAACCCAUGAAUUGCUUUGGAAACUGUUUGGCUUGAGUGUCGGAGGGGUAAGCGGAAUUCCUAGUGUAGCGGUGAAAUGCGUAGAUAUUAGGAGGAACACCGGAGGCGAAGGCGGCCUACUGGACGACAACUGACGUUGAGGCUCGAAGGCGUGGGGAGCAAACA
rnacentral:rRNA from 1 species